AUACAGGCAGCAUUCACAAUCAGGGUGAUGCAUCAAAGAUCCAAAGAUGUUUCCAGGCAUGAGUUACAAGGCCUCUAAAGACAAUGACUUUUAUAGGGUUUUAGAUUACGGUGAUGUUCUGUAAAUCCUGCUCCAGUCACACAAUAGGCCAAGAGCAAUUAGUGUUAAUUAAACUAUCCCCAUAAAGAGGUUGCUGCUCUGACACAUUGAUAUCCCGUAAAUACACUGAGCCUGCGAACAUUCUCAAGGGCUUGCCUUCCACAUCACCAAGGGCCCUGGACCCUCCCGCCCCGGGACUGCUCACACCUGAGUGUAACACCACUCAGCCAGAACCCAGCCCUGGGGCCCACCACUCGGCUCGCUGAACCACCUGGGGAUCCUACUAAAACGAGAUUCUGAUUCGGGAAGUCUGGGGUAGGGCUUGAAAUUCUGCAGAUGGAUCAAGCUCCCUGGUGGUGCUGAAGCUGCUGCCCUCCAGACAUCACUCAGAGAAGGAACAUGGUUGUACAGAAGCCCUCUGCAGUCCGAGGGAUGAUGGCCCAGGUUAGGGGCAGGGAGAGCAAGUCACGCCAUCCUGUGUACUCCUAACGCUCUGGCCUUCCUGCCCUGCUUUAUAGCCAGAGAACUAUGGACGAGGAGAAAUAAGCAAGCAGUAUACCAUGCAGACGCCAAAGUGACCCUCAGAGUCACCCCAGAUGCUGGAAGCCUCACCUUCUAUGGAGAGGAGCAGAGAUUAAAAAAAGAAAAAGAACCAGCCUCUGAGAAAGAUGAGCCCAGCAGUAUCUCCACCCCUGGGUUCUCUGUAUCCUGCACCUGCCUGGUAGAUGGAGCCCCCAGGGAUGCCCCGGGCCACGAGUGACGUGCGGCUUUUCCAGAGAUGGAAGGAUUGGGGACCAGGGUAUGCGGGUUCAAUCCCUGGUCGGAGAGCUAAGAUCCCACGUGCCUUGGAGCCAAAAAACCAGAAGAUAAAAUAAAAGCAAUAUUGUAACAAACUCAAUAAAGAUUUUUUAAAUGGUCCACAUCAAAAAAAAAAUCUAAAAAGAAAACAGUCAUAAGAGCUGUGAGGGGAGAGCCUCCCGGAGACACCUCCCUUACACAGAGAGCGCUUAGAUUCCUUAGAGACUGGAGUCCUCUGACCAAAAAAUUUGCCCUUGCAUCUGCGGCCUUUCCUUUUUCUUCUCUCUGACACCCUUCCUCUGUAGCAUUUUCAGUGCAGCUCCAGCCAAGUCUGCUAUUUAUAAAGCAGGAGCAAUUUUACCACAGGGCGUGGUGUUUAAUUUGAAGAGACGUCAAAGAGUGAGGGGCAGAUGGCUGAGCCAGCCGAGCCUCUCGGUGACCUUGAUGGGACACCCAAGCCCACACGUUCAUCCUGAACUUCCUCCAACAGAUCCUGAGUUGAUCAAGCUCUGGGGAAGAAAGGAUGAAUUGAUAAUCCAGGUGCCUGCUUAUUAAUUUCUAGUGUAUCUAUGGAUAGCUUCUGAAUGACACCAGUUCAGAUGAUCCAUUCUAGAAAAUUGUUCGAGAGAUUUGCAA
ensembl:lncRNA